AGGACCCACAGAUUCUAGGAAGCUCCCAGGAGCCCUAAAGAUAGAUGUCGCGAUCUUCAUCACUCCUAAGGAGGAAGAGUCAGAGAGGCUACGGUCUCGGGCCCAAGCUCAAGGGCCCAGUGGAGUCAUUGUUGGGGGAGGGAUCUGAACCCACCAAUCGGCCAGCUUUGUAUGAGAAGACAAGGACAUUUCUCCCAGCCUACAGCAGAAAGAUGGGGCUGCACCCUGCCGUGGGCUGAGGCUGGGAAGGAACGCUGACGGGGAGAAGGACCCAGGCAGCACCUCCCCGGGGACCAGAACUCGAACCCACAGCUCUGGACUUAGCCGGGGGCUCUGGCGCUAGCCUCCGCCUCCGAGCGGAUGUGCCGGAUAUGUCGCCCUAAGUUCCUGAACCACCUCCUGAGAAAUGCAUUGUGGUGGGCGUAUGUGUUCCUCUGGGGACUCCAGGCUUGGGCUUAAAGCAUUUAGGAAAUAAAUAAAAUAAAUACUCU